rnacentral:piRNA from 1 species
UCUACCUCCAACAAGUUCCACAGUGCC